GAAAUGCGAUAACUAAUGUGAAUUGCAGAUUUCAGUGAAUCAUCGAGUCUUUGAACGCAAGUGGCACUGUGGGGCAUGCCCCGCAGUAUACCUGUUCGAGCGUCGCCAUAUUCCUCAACAUCGAACCAAAUCUUGUAUUUGGUUUCGAUCGUUGGACGAUGUCUGUUGAAUGCUUCUAUAGCCUUCAUCAGUGACCAAAGUCAUUCCCUAGCGCCAGGUGUACUCUUUCAUCUCUUGGCAUCACAUGCUUACAACGUGGUAAGGUGACUUGUUCACAAUCUACUCUCGAUGUAAGCGCCUCGAGCUAGUGAGAGAGGAGCUGUGCAUAUGCUGCUGGGUCCCUUUUGUGUGUGUUUUACUACACAUACAAUACAAAACAUCCACACACGACCUCGAAUCAGGCAAGGCUACCCGCUGAAUUUAA
rnacentral:misc_RNA from 1 species